GAAGACCUGAGUUUGAGACCAGUCUUUGGUGUUAACUCUGUGACCUUAGUUGAGUCAAGAGACCUCAGCUGCCUUGGAAAGCAUCGAAGCCAUAUGCAAGCUGCGACAUUGGAGGGAAAUGAGCAGAGUUGCAUAAGACCCAUCCCUCUACUUGGUUGGCCAGCCUACAUGUACUCUCCACCUGCUUCAGGAAGUGGGUGAAAGGCACACAUGCUAAUGAAGCUAUUCAACACCCAAUGCUCAAUGAGCAGCUGAAUUCAAGGAAGUCAACCAGUGCCGGAGAUGCAGAAAGCACCCAAGGAAACUUCAGAGUUCAGAGGGGGACACUCGACCAAUGGAUGCUGACGGAAUAAGCUGCCAACACCCAGAGCCCUUGUCAGGGAACUGAAAAUCAGGGAGCUCUGGGCCCCUCAGUUUUUGAAAGAGGGCUCACUGUUCUAGCGUCUGGUGGCUGGAUAGUUAUUCAAAGAGUCAAUUGUAUUGGGGAGAAAGAAGGCAGGUCCGCUGGUGCUAAAAAAGAUCUGAAGUUGUGAUAAAUACAGUACAUAAAGUAUCCUUUUGAUCCCCAAAGCAAGACAAGUGUCUCAGCUUAGCCUUCCUGUGAUUUCUUUCAAGGCUAUCCUGAGUGAAUAUAAGGCAGCCCUCUAAUCAUGCCCCUCUUGUCCUCAAAAACUUUUAGGGACUCCCUCCCUCCCUCUCACUCAUUGCCUAUAAAAUAUAGGUGAGUGAUAUUGGCAUUCAAGGCCCUCCACUAUCUGGCUCAAAUUUAUA